rnacentral:lncRNA from 1 species
AGGCAGUGGUGCUUACACAAUAUUUCCUGUGCUCUCCAGAGACGAUGGACCGAUUUCCUGACACUACUCUCCCUUCACUUCCGUGGUUACCCUGAGUCUUGACUUACAAAUGCCCACGAUGGGUGUAGCCUUUAUUAAACAGAUCAUGUAUUCUGAUCUCUUGCUGCAGCCACAGUGCAGCUCCAUGUAAACCUACAGGCCAAACCAUUUGUAUCCGGCAUCACUUACUAACACACAACAUGUGGCUUUUCUGCAUCAAUUGCUGUGACAGUUCAGAAUGUUGGUAUACAAGAAAGAAUAGAAAAUUGAUAAGGUUUUAAAUAAUCUGUAAUUUCAGUCUCUUUUUUUCUGAAAUACAUUAUAUUGUAUGUUUGAGAUAAUUCUAGUACAAAGUAUAAUAAACUAGAUGUAUAAUAAACCCUUUAAAUCAUUGCUAAGUGUAUAAGUGGAACUGAAGCAUUUACUGGACAAAGUAAUGUUACUCUAAUGGUUACUUGCUUGUGCGUGGCCACACUGUUAUAAUUUGCUUCAUUACCCUGCUAUUUGAUACAUAGUGUGCAUUUCUCUGUCACUGUAACUAUUGUAAUAACAAAUUUUCAUCUUACUGCACAAUCAAAAUGGCAUCUAUAGUAAUGACCUCCAGAGUCUGAGCUUGGACAGAGAGUGGGCGCUCAGGCCUGGUGCUCCAUCAUACGACCUGUACCUCUCAACUUUUGCCCUGUUAAAUAUAUGCUAUGUCAUUAAAUGCUUUUAAAUC